rnacentral:rRNA from 1 species
GUCUAUAGCCAUGCCACCUUGAACAAGCCCAAUCUCGUCUGGUCUUGGAAGCUAAGCAGCGUUGUGCUUGGUUAGUAGUUGGAUGGGAGAUCACCUAGGAAGACCGGGUGCUGUAGGCC